CUAAUAACUAUGAAGGGGACAAGUAGUCUUGAUACAGUUUACAGAGAGAGGUUUGCCAUGGGCUGGAAGCAACCUUAGACUUCAGGUCAGGAUGAAUGCGCCCCGGAGUUGCGCUGCCGAAUUAAAGUAGGUUGUGCCGGUUGUGUCCGUUAUCACGCAUAGUGCAGCUUUAUUUUUGGCUGCCCGAGUGGGGCCUUAGGCCCAAGCAGUGUGGAACCGCGGAAAUCCUCCGUCUCUGUA
rnacentral:ncRNA from 1 species